rnacentral:sRNA from 1 species
GCUGUUAAAGACACUGGGAAGUGGUCGGACUUACACUCCAUUCUUGUUACCCCCAAGCCAACCCAAAGAUGGAGAAGUCUGGAAAGGAACUUGGAGAGAGGGUCAGGAAGGGGGCCAGCAGAAGGUUCUGAAUGGACUGAAUCCAGGCCAUCAGGCUUAGAGACAAGUCGCUCUGCCCAUUGAGCCAGUUCACCAGCCCCAUUCCCUCUACUUCUGUUUCCAAGAUGAGGGGCAUAAGCAAAGAGUCUAAGGUCCCCGAACAAACACCAGAGGAUUGUCCGCUUCUAGGAACACCCGUGGGAGCUUCGUGAGUCAGAGGAGACGGAAGAGCCAUCAGCCUUGCCGGUGAACUCUUAGGACAGGGUCCUGCUGAUGUCACCUCCGCCCC